UGAGUACUAUACAAUAGUUAAAGCUUUCAACAACGGAUCUCUUGGUUCUGGCAUCGAUGAAGAACGCAGCGAAAUGCGAUAAGUAAUGUGAAUUGCAGAAUUCAGUGAAUCAUCGAAUCUUUGAACGCACAUUGCGCCCUCUGGUAUUCCGGGGGGCAUGCCUGUUCGAGCGUCAUUACAACCCUCAAGCUCAGCUUGGUGUUGGGCUCGCCCCCAGUGGGCCUGCCUCAAAAUCAGUGGCGGCUCCGUCCGGUCUCAAGCGCAGUAAUACUCGUCGCUUGUUGGUCCCGGGCGGUGGUCUGCUAACAACCCCCAAUCUUUUACAUUGUUGACCUCGGAUCAGGUAGGGAUACCCGCUGAACUUAAGCAUAUCAAUAAGCGGAGGAAAAGAAACCAACAGGGAUUGCCUCAGUAACGGCGAGUGAAGCGGCAGCAGCUCAAAUUUGAAAGCUGGCUCCUUCGGGGCCCGCGUUGUAAUUUGUGGAGGAUGUUUCGGGCGCGGCGCCGGUCUAAGUUCUUUGGAACAAGACGUCAUAGAGGGUGAGAAUCCCGUAUGUGACUGGUUGCCUGUGCCCAUGUGAAACUCCUUCGACGAGUCGAGUAGUUUGGGAAUGCUGCUCAAAAUGGGAGGUGUAUUUCUUCUAAAGCUAAAUAUUGGCCAGAGACCGAUAGCGCACAAGUAGAGCGAUCGAAAGAUGAAAAGCACUUUGGAAAGAGAGUUAAACAGUACGUGAAAUUGUUGAAAGGGGAGCGCUUGCAAUCAGACUUGCGCGGCGUCGAUCAGCCUGGGUUCUCCCUGGUGUACUCGGCGCCGCUCAGGCCAGCAUCAGUUUCGGCGGUGGGAUAAAGGCUCAGGGAACGUGAGUUGCUUCGGUGACUGUUAUAGCCCUGGGUGCAAUGCCGCCUGCCGGGACUGAGGACCGCGCUUCGGCU
rnacentral:rRNA from 1 species